UUAUCUCUGUAGAGUCUGCAUAUCAAUAAGCGGAGGAAAAGAAACUAACUAGGAUUCCCUUAGUAACGGCGAGUGAAGCGGGAAGAGCUCAAAUUUGAAAUCUUCAAGGUUUUACCUUGACGAAUUGUAGUUUAAAGAAGUGUUUUCUGUUGGUGUUUUGGUAAAAGUUCUUUGGAAUAGGACAUCAUAGAGGGUGAGAAUCCCGUAUUUGACCAUUACUUCCAGCGUUGUGAUACACUUUCAAAGAGUCGGAUUGUUUGGGAAUGCAGUCCAAAAUGGGUGGUAAAUUUCAUCUAAAGCUAAAUAUUGGCGAGAGACCGAUAGCGAACAAGUACCGUGAGGGAAAGAUGAAAAGAACUUUGAAAAGAGAGUUAAACAGUACGUGAAAUCGUCAAAAGGGAAGCGUUUGACACCAGUGUUGUUUUCUCGAAAAUCAAUUAAAAAGUGUUGGAUUUUGUAUUGUUAAGACCUUAUCAGCUUACUGUACUCUUUUCCUGCUCUUUUUAAUGCACUUUUCGUUUAACAAGUCAACAUCAAUUUCUUUUGUUGUAAAAGAGUCAUUGGAAGGUGGCUUUCACUUCGGUGAAAGUGUUUAUAGCCUUUGGCUUCUGCAAUCGGAGAGAUUGAGGUCUGCAGCGUAGAUCCUUCGGGGCUAGAUACGUAGAUGCUAAGUUAUAGUUUUUUAUAGACAACUUGUUGACUAUGAUUAAUCAUGUAGCUUACUCGUUUGCGCUAUUUUACCUACGCUUAGGAUGUUGAAUCUGUGCGAGACUAC
rnacentral:rRNA from 1 species